rnacentral:rRNA from 1 species
UACGUAGGCAGCAAGCGUUGUUCGGAAUUACUGGGCGUAAAGGGCUCGUAGGCGGCCAACUAAGUCAGACGUGAAAUCCCUCGGCUUAACCGGGGAACUGCGUCUGAUACUGGAUGGCUUGAGUGUGGGAGAGGAAUGCGGAAUUCCAGGUGUAGCGGUGAAAUGCGUAGAUAUCUGGAGGAACACCGGUGGCGAAGGCGGCAUUCUGGACCAUUACUGACGCUGAGGCGCGAAAGCGUGGGGAGCAAACAGG